AAUCGGCAUACCAUGGCUCACUUACCUCAAUGGACAGCAGCUGCUUAUCUGGGAAUGCUUCUAGGAUGGGUAAGGGCUCCUCAUUGAGUACCAAACGGCUCAAGUGGUUAGCCACCAUGUUCUCACUUCCUUUCUUGUCCCAGAUUUCGAUAUCGAACUCUUGGAGAAAAAACAUCCAGUGAAUAAGCCUUGGUUUGGCCUCUUUCUUUGCAAGUAAAUAUUUCAAAGCUGCAUGAUCAGAAUAAAUGAUGACUUUAGUUCCAAGUAAAUAAGAUGACAUUUAAGCGUUAUUUAAGGCAUUGCAUAAUAGAUGACAUGCGGCUGCUUGUCCUUCC
rnacentral:lncRNA from 1 species